GACGAACGCUGGCGGCGUGCUUAACACAUGCAAGUCGAACGAAGUGGCGAACGGGUGAGUAACACGUGAGUAACCUGCCCUCUUCUUUGUGAUAACGGUCGGAAAGGGCUGCUACUACUGGAUAGGGGUGGAUGGGCUCGUGGCCUAUCAGCUUGUUGGUGGUGUGAUGGCCUUGCAAGGCUUUGACGGGUAACCGGCCGGAGAGGGCGACCGGCAACAUUGGGACUGAGACACGGCCCAAACUCCUACGGGAGGCAGCAGUGGGGAAUAUUGCACAAUGGGGGAAACCCUGAUGCAGCAACGCCGCGUGCGGGAUGACGGCCUUCGGGUUGUAAACCGCUUUCAGCCAUGACGCGGUAGUGGCAGAAGAUGCACCGGCUAACUACGUGCCAGCAGCCGCGGUAAUUC
rnacentral:rRNA from 1 species